CAGUAGCCACGGGAAUACAGAGGGUGCGAGCGUUAAUCGGAUUUACUGGGCGUAAAGCGUGCGUAGGCGGCUUCUUAAGUCGGAUGUGAAAUCCCUGAGCUUAACUUAGGAAUUGCAUUCGAUACUGGGAAGCUAGAGUAUGGGAGAGGAUGGUAGAAUUCCAGGUGUAGCGGUGAAAUGCGUAGAGAUCUGGAGGAAUACCGAUGGCGAAGGCAGCCAUCUGGCCUAAUACUGACGCUGAGGUACGAAAGCAUGGGGAGCAAACAGGAUUAGAUACCCGAGUAGUCCCUGUCUCUUAUAA
rnacentral:rRNA from 1 species